UAACCGUAGGUGAACCUGCGGUUGGAUCAUUAAUAAUUUUUUAUUAAUAUUGAUGACACGUGCGGAGUUCCGCGUAUGCGGGUUCCCGCGUGAAAGCAAAACCCAACUUGUGAUCUGAAAUUGUCUCUGGUGGGCAUAACGAGAAGAUGGAGGGGUUUUCCCUGCGGAAUUUUUUUCCCUCUAUUUAUAAACUACAUGUCUUAUUUUUUUUUUCUCAAAAUUUUUAUUAUCAUAAUAAAAAAAACAACUUUUAACAACGGAUCUCUUGGCUCUC
rnacentral:misc_RNA from 1 species